rnacentral:rRNA from 1 species
UACAGAGGUCUCGAGCGUUAGGCGGAAUCACUGGGCUUAAAGCGUGUGUAGGUGGAUCGGUAAGUACCUUGUGAAAUCCCACGGCUUAACCGUGGAACUGCUUGGUAUACUGCCAGUCUUGAGCCAGCUAGGGGCUACCGGAACAAAUGGUGGAGCGGUGAAAUGCGUAGAUAUCAUUUGGAACGCCAAUGGUGAAACCAGGUAGCUGGGGCUGUGCUGACGCUGAUGUGCGAAAGCUAGGGGAGCGAACGGG